rnacentral:rRNA from 1 species
AUGGAUAGCAAGACAAAAUUGGUGUUCUGGAACGUACAUGGACUUAAUUGUAGCGCUAGACGCGCCACAGUUUGAUCCAUCAUUUCCGCAUCUAAUCCCUCAGUGGUUUGCCUCCAAGAAACCAAGCUCGAGCUUAUCUCCCCAGUGAUCGUAUGUGAAACUCUCGAACAUUCUUACUAGAGCUUCUUCUUCCUCCCCACUAUGGGCACGCACGGCGGAAUCCUUCUCGCCUAG